GACGUAGGGGGCAAGCGUUGUUCGGAAUUACUGGGCGUAAAGCGUGCGUAGGUGGUUUGUUAAGUCUGUUGUGAAAGCCCCGGGCUCAACCUGGGAAUGGCAAUGGAUACUGGCAGGCUAGAGUGCGGUAGAGGGUAGUGGAAUUCCCGGUGUAGCGGUGAAAUGCGUAGAGAUCGGGAGGAACACCAGUGGCGAAGGCGGCUACCUGGACCAGCACUGACACUGAGGCACGAAAGCGUGGGGAGCAAACAGG
rnacentral:rRNA from 1 species